UACAGAGGUCUCGAGCGUUAGGCGGAAUCACUGGGACUUAAAGCGUGUGUAGGCGGAUCGUUAAAGUCACCUUGUGAAAAUCCCACGGCUUUAACCGUGGAACUGCUUGGUAUACUGGGCGGUCUUGAGCCAGCUAGGGGCUACCGGAACAAAAUGGUGGAGCGGUGAAAUGCUGUAGAUAUCAAUUUGGAACGCCAAUGGGUGAAAACAGGUAGCUGGGGCUGUGCUG
rnacentral:rRNA from 1 species